GACGAACGCUGGCGGCGUGCUUAACACAUGCAAGUCGAACGGAAGGGCCCGGCUUUUGGGGGUGGCUGGAUUGGCGAAGGGGUGGUUAACACGGGGUUACCCGCCCCUUAACUUUGGGAUAACUUCGGGAAACUGGGGCUAUUACGGCAUAGGAUCUCCUGCUCCAUGUUGGGGUUUGGAAAUUUUCGGCGUUUGGGGAUGGACUGGCGGCUUAUCAGCUUGUUGGUGGGGUAGUGGCUUACCAAGGCUUUGACGGGUAGCCGGCCUGAGAGGGUGACCGGCCACAUUGGGACUGAGAUACGGCCCAGACUCCUACGGGAGGCAGCAGUGGGGAAUAUUGCACAAUGGGCGGAAGCCUGAUGCAGCAACGCCGCGUGCGGGAUGACGGCCUUCGGGUUGUAAACCGCUUUCGCCUGUGACGAAGCGUGAGUGACGGUAAUGGGUAAAGAAGCACCGGCUAACUACGUG
rnacentral:rRNA from 1 species